rnacentral:lncRNA from 1 species
GUUUCACACAGCGGUACUUAUUUACUACCAACCAUCACAGCAGCGGACAUUUAAACGAGCCAAAUCAAUGCAUAAAUAAUAUUGAAGUUUUGUACAUAUAAAGGUAUUGCUUUGAACAAAAGACGAGUAUUCAAUCUCUUACCUGUGUUUGAGAGAUUUUUAACAAAAGGGGGAAGUAGUAGCUAUCAUGUGGUAGGGUCACGACUGACUUUUAGUUGAUUUGAGACAGAUUUAAAUGAGAAGGACAACACGAUAUGAGGAC